UACAGAGGGUGCAAGCGUUGUUCGGAAUUAUUGGGCGUAAAGCGCGCGCAGGCGGUUGUUUAAGUCUGAUGUUAAAUCCCGAGGCUCAACCUCGGUCCGCAUUGGAAACUGAACGACUGGAGUGCAGAAGAGGAGAGUGGAAUUCCACGUGUAGCGGUGAAAUGCGUAGAGAUGUGGAGGAACACCCGUGGCGAAGGCGGCUCUCUGGGACGGUACUGACGCUGAGACGCGAAAGCGUGGGGAGCGAACAGG
rnacentral:rRNA from 1 species